rnacentral:rRNA from 1 species
CCUACGGGAGGCAGCAGUAGGGAAUUUUCGUCAAUGGGCGCAAGCCUGAACGAGCAAUGCCGCGUGAACGAGGAAGGUCUUCGGAUCGUUAAGUUCUGUUGAAGGGGAAAAAGAGCGGAGAGAGGAAAUGCUUUCUGCUUGAUCUUACCCUUCGAGGUAGUCACGGCUCACUACGUGCCAGCCGCCGCGGUAAUACGUAGGUGGCGUGCGUUAUCCGGAUUGAUUGGGCGUAAAGGGUGCGUAGGCGGCCUGCUAAGUCUGGAGGGAAAGGUACCGGCUCAACCGGUACAGGCGCUGGAAAAUGGGGGGCUAGAGGGCAGGAGAGGGCGGUGGAACUCCAGGGGUAGCGGGAAAAUGCGUAGAUAUAUGGAAGAACAUCAGUGUCGAAGGCGGCCGCCUGGCCUGUUAACUGACGCUGAGGCACGAAAGCGUGGGGAGCAAAUAGGAUUAGAUACCCCAGUAGUC